UAGCCGCCUUCAUCACUUCCACAAUUCCUAGGCUAGCGCGAAUUGCAGAGCCCAGGUCCUCUUUUUUUCAGUCAUGCAAGGAUAGAGCAGAUCAUGCAUCUCUGAUUCCGGAAUCUCCACCACCAUGGCUGACGUUGAGAACAAGCGGCGGCUGAAGUCUCAAAGAAGAGAACAUUCAAUAAGUUCAACUUCAAGGGCGUCGGUUUGCUCUUCUCGACAUGUCCACUGAUGAGCUCAUCAAGCUCUUCCUUGCCAUAGCUCACAGAAGAUUGGAUCUAAGCAUGUGUGCUGUGGUGGGUGUGCUGGUGCUGUCGUGACUAAAAGAAGUAGAAAAGAAGGAAAAACAUAAUGAAAUUUGGCUUCUGUUGCAAGGAUCUAAGCAUGUGUGCUGUGGUGGAAUGCAGUUUCAGCUGGCGUUAUGCAUUCUGGGGAGAGGCAUUUGUGAUGAAACUAUGCAGUGUUUGCAGCUUACCAUUUAUCCCUUGAAACUUCCUUCCUUGCUGAUGAGGGUGCUACUCUGCCCAAGACGACUAUGAGACGCAUCG
rnacentral:sRNA from 1 species